rnacentral:rRNA from 1 species
AGAGUUUGAUCCUGGCUCAGAUUGAACGCUGGCGGCGUGCCUAACACAUGCAAGUCGAGCGGUAACAGGUGUAGCAAUACAUGCUGACGAGCGGCGAACGGGUGAGUAAUGCUUCGGAAUCUACCCAGUAGUGGGGAAUAACCAACCGAAAGGUUGGCUAAUACCGCAUACGUCCUACGGGAGAAAGCGGGGGAUCGUAAGACCUCGCGCUAUCGGAUGAGCCGAAGCCGGAUUAGCUAGUUGGUAGGGUAACGGCCUACCAAGGCGACGAUCCGUAGCUGGUCUGAGAGGACGACCAGCCACACUGGGACUGAGACACGGCCCAGACUCCUACGGGAGGCAGCAGUGGGGAAUAUUGGACAAUGGGGGAAACCCUGAUCCAGCGACACCGCGUGUGUGAAGAAGGCCUGCGGGUUGUAAAGCACUUUUAGUGGGGAUGAAAAGUGCAGAGCUAACACCUCUGCAUCUUGACCUAACCCACAGAAAAAGCACCGGCUAACUCUGUGCCAGCAGCCGCGGUAAUACAGAGGGUGCGAGCGUUAAUCGGAAUUACUGGGCGUAAAGCGUGCGUAGACGGUCGUGUAAGUCGGGUGUGAAAGCCCCGGGCUCAACCUGGGAAUUGCAUUCGAGACUGCAUGGCUAGGGUGCGGAAGAGGGAAGCGGAAUUUCCGGUGUAGCGGUGAAAUGCGUAGAUAUCGGAAGGAACACCAGUGGCGAAAGCGGCUUCCUGGUCCGACACCGACGUUCAGGCACGAAAGCGUGGGGAGCAAACAGGAUUAGAUACCCCGGUAGUCC